UUGAUAUGUGCCUUUUUAUAAUCAGUGUUUUUAUAUACAAGUGGAUAAUAAGAAGAAUGCUCUUGUUGUAUAAAUUCUAUAGUUAAAUCGUUUAGUAACUUCUAUAAGUAGAGGUAGACAAAAUUGUAUGGCUGCGCAAUCCAAUCGAUGAUAUUUUAACCCAUUUGCCAGCAAAAAGACAUGGCUAAAUAUUUUGUAUACUGCUUAAUUCUCUCUCGGUGAUCUAAAUGAGCACAAGCCUGUCAGCGCUGCACUGGAGAUUUUGAAGUCAGGAUUCCUAAAAUGUUGAAUAACAUAUAGGCUUGCUCAUGGUUGUAAGUAAUUAUUUAACAACUAAGCUAUCUUAACCAAAUUUCUUAUUGCGAUUGAUGCUCUCUUGUUAGUUUGCAGUCAAUAAUGGGACCGCUUAUGGACAAGGUACCGGUCCAAUAUUGAUGUGUACUGGAGCCGAAUCGAGUUUGUUGGACUGUCAAAUAUUUAACGAGUACGAUUACGGAUUGUACAGCGAGCAAUGCACCCAUGAAGAAGAAGUCGGAAUAGAUUGUGAUCUAGGAAAGUCAAGCCAAGCGCAUUUGCAGUUUCCGAACAACCUAGCAGAAACCCGGUGCAUCUCUACAAGCUAUAUGCCGACCAACGCCCCUUCGACAUGAUGGCAGAAGACAGCUAUUUCUUAUUGACUCCUGGCAACAAGAGAAAGCAAUGCUGGUUAAGGAACUCAGCCCUGGGAAUAAACAAGUUGUACAAAUUAAUUACUGAGAUGAAAACAGAUGCUGGUAUUCAAGAGCCAAGAAUCACCCUAUACAGGUCUGAUUCUCACAUGGGCCUUUCCCAGAAACAGAACGUAGUCACUCACCAGAGGCAAUCUCCAUCCCGUGCACCGGCGGUAACCGUAGAUUCCUCCUGUACAGCGACGCUACAAACGAAUCCGCCUUAUUGCAGACAGUGACAGUGAUUGAUAUCGAAACCUUUUAGCGCAAGACCACUAUUGAAAUAUGUUUGCGUUCCUAGUUGU